AGCGAACGUUAGCGGCGCGCUUAACACAUGCAAGUCGCACGAGAAAGGGCCUCGGCCCCGGUACAGUGGCGCACGGGUGAGUAACACGUGGAUGAUGUGCCGUUCUAUGGGGAAUAACCUUCCGAAAGGAGGGCUAAUUCCGCAUCCGACCGUAUCGUGGGAACGAUACGGUGAAAGCAGGCCUCUGUAUACACGCUUGCGUAGAACGAACAGUCCGCGUCCCAUCAGCUAGUUGGUGAGGUAAUGGCUCACCAAGGCUAAGACGGGUAGCUGGUCUGAGAGGAUGGCCAGCCACACUGGAACUGAGACACGGUCCAGACUCCUACGGGAGGCAGCAGUGGGGAAUCUUGCGCAAUGGGGGGAAACCCUGACGCAGCGACGCCGCGUGGACGACGAAGGCCUUCGGGUUGUAAAGUACCUGUGGGUGGAGACGAAAGAAC
rnacentral:rRNA from 1 species